AACGAACGCUGGCGGCAGGCCUAAUACAUGCAAGUUGAGCGAGAAGCCACCUUCGGGUGGUGGACAGCAGCGCACGGGUGAGUAACGCGUGGGAAAAUACCCCAAGGUACGGAAUAACUACUGGAAACGGUAGCUAAUACCGUAUGUUCCUUGAGAGGCAAAGAUUUAUCGCCUUGGGAUUUGCCCGCGUCUGAUUAGAUAGUUGGUGAGGUAGUGGCUCACCAAGUCAACGAUCAGUAGCUGGUUUGAGAGAAUGAUCAGCCACACUGGGACUGAGACACGGCCCAG
rnacentral:rRNA from 1 species